AUUGAACGCUGGCGGCAGGCCUAACACAUGCAAGUCGAACGAGUGGCGGACGGGUGAGUUAUGUCUGGGAAACUGCCUGAUGGAGGGGGAUAACUACUGGAAACGGUAGAUAAUACCGCAUACCAUUCGAUGUUCCCAGAUGGGAUUACCUAGUUGGGGGGGGAACGGCUCACCAGGGCGACGAUACCUAGCUGGUCUGCGAGGAUGACCAGGCACACAAGAACAUAAACACAGUCCAUACUCCUACGGGAGGCAGCAGUGAGGAAUAUUGCACGAUGGACGCAAUCCUGAUGCAGCCAUGCCGCGGGGAUGAAGGAGGCCUUCUGGUAGUAAAGGACUUUCAGCGGGAGGGAGUUACCCGCAGAAGAAGCACCGGCUAACUCCGUGCCAACGACCGCGGGAAUUC
rnacentral:rRNA from 1 species